rnacentral:rRNA from 1 species
ACGGAGGGUGCGAGCGUUAAUCGGAAUUACUGGGCGUAAAGCGCAUGCAGGCGGUUCGUUAAGUCAGGUGUGAAAGCCCGGGGCUCAACCUCGGAAUUGCAUUUGAAACUGGCGGGCUAGAGUACGGUAGAGGGGGGUAGAAUUUCAGGUGUAGCGGUGAAAUGCGUAGAGAUGUGAAGGAACACCGGUGGCGAAGGCAGCCCCCUGGACCGAUACUGACGCUCA